rnacentral:rRNA from 1 species
GCACAAGCGGUGGAUGAUGUGGAUUAAUUCGAUGCAACGCGAAAACCUUACCUACCCUUGACAUGCCAGGAACUUGCCAGAGAUGGCUUGGUGCCCGAAAGGGAGCCUGGACACAGGUGCUGCAUGGCUGUCGUCAGCUCGUGUCGUGAGAUGUUGGGUUAAGUCCCGCAACGAGCGCAACCCUUGCCAUUAGUUGCUACAUUUAGUUGAGCACUCUAAUGGGACUGCCGGUGACAAACCGGAGGAAGGUGGGGAUGACGUCAAGUCCUCAUGGCCCUUAUGGGUAGGGCUUCACACGUCAUACAAUGGCGGAUACAGAGGGUUGCCAACCCGCGAGGGGAGCCAAUCCCAGAAAGUCCGUCGUAGUCCGGAUUGUAGUCUGCAACUCGACUACAUGAAGUCGGAAUCGCUAGUAAUCGCGGAUUCAGCACUGUCGCGGUAGAUACGUCCGGUCU